UUCAAUUACAUCUCUACUCAUCUGAACUCAAAUUUCUCAAAACACUGUUUGAAAUUACAUAAAGCAACUGACAACCACAUGCUUCUCCCUUUUAUUUUCCAAGCAUUUCCCUCGAUAACCCGUACCCAUUGGAGGAAGCUUUGUGAGGGCCUCGAUAGAGUAUUCUCUAGCCCAUUGCUUCUCCUUCCUUCUCCAAGCUCGAGACCUGCAAGCACAUCGUCCCCAAGCUUGAGACCUGCAAGCACAUUGAAUCUUUGCAGAACCUCAGUCUUCUGAACCCCCUUUGCAAAGCAGGAAGCUAUGCAAUUCUCAACUAGAUCAAUCUCCAUUCUUUGCAUCCAUCAGGUUCCAUCAAACCAUCAAAUGGUCCUCCCUCCUCCUAAAAAACACAGUAAUUUUGCGUUGCCUUUGAAUAGGAAGGGCUCUCGUGACCUCUACAACAAAAGUGGGUUCAACUUUUUUGAAAACCCACGAAAGGCCCCUUCCAUUCUCAUUUUGAAAGCUUCUAGAGUGGCUUUGCUCGUAUCUUGUUCAAUCCUUGAGAACGGUCUAUAAAGUAAAGAUGGCGAAACGAACAAAUCCACCAUAACAUUGAAGACCUCACGACGCACCACUGUCUCUGGCCAUAAAAGUCAUCGAGCCAAGAGGCCAUCCACGACUGCUCUGAAGAUGAGGUCUUACCAGAUGGGAUGGAGGAUGUUUUCGUUGAGAUGAUGUAUGGGGACUCCAUUAGUGGUGCACUACACGCAGGCAAGAUCACAAGUAGGGACCACGCUUUGUACGUUGAACAUCUUUCUGCCCUGGGUACAAAGAUGUUUGAUGCAAACCAAGUCAAGGGCAAAAUACAAAGGCUAAAGAAGAGGCAGUGGUAGUUCAUCGAUCUCAUUGGCCAAACAGGUAUGGGAUGGGACUCUGACACCAAAACGGUGAUAGCCAGUGACGAGCACUGGGCAAAAGCCAUUAGGGUGAAAUCAGACUGGAAGUAUUUUCGGAACGCGGGGUGCCCAAAGUAUUUAUGUCGCUACUGGGACUCUUCACCACUUUUCAGCCUAACCAGUGCCAACUAGUGAUGAUGAGCAUUAGAUUGAUGCAGAGAUGCGACGUUGGGGCCCCGCAUUGGGCACGCAGUUGAGAGUGGAGGUUGAUAUUGAUGACAUAGAUGUUUCCAUGGGAUACCUUAUACUGGACCAUCCACACACUCAUCACGUCGGCAUCAAAAUAAGGGGGAGCGAAUAAGGAAGGUUGAGGAUGAGUUAUUGGACUUCAUUAGUGUGAUGAAGGAAACAAAUUUAGCACAACGGAAGUGCUAUAAGGAGAGAGGUGAGGUUUCCUCAGCAAAGCGUAGCAAGGGCUCGACACUGACCAUGGACAGCAAUGAUGGAUGGGAUCCGUUCGACCAUGGAAGUUGCCGUAUAAGAAUUUUUUUUCGUGCAUUCAACGAACUACGUGAUCUCAUGAUCCAGCGGGGCUUUUUAGCUAUGGAUGAUGAACAUAGACAAUCAGUGACCAUGGAGGAAUCUGUUGUGAUGUUUUGUCUAAUUGUCGGCCACGCAUAGGCCCAACGAAUUGUUGGCAACCGAUUUCAACAUUCGAGCCAACCAAUUAAUAAAUGUGUGAGAAAGGUGAUGAAGGCCUUAAAUGAGCUUGGGAGACAUAUUAUCAAGCCACAUUUCACAGACGAGGUGCAUCCAUAUAUUGUACGGAACAACCGAAAUCUACCGUGGUUUGGGCAAUGCGUUGGAGCGAUGAACAACACUAUGAUGGAUGCGGUAGUACUAGCCUCAGUACCCGAGGCAUAUAGAAAUCGGUAUGGGCGAGUUGCCCAAAAUGUAAUGUGUAUAUGUAACUUCGAUAUGAAAUUAAUAUUUGUAUACAGCGGAUGGGAAGGAACAGUGCAUGAUGCUCGUAUAUAUCUCCAUGCGGCGAGUCAAGGAUCCGCCCAGUUUCCAUGGUUGCCUGAAGGUAAAUAUUAUUUGGCCGAUUCUGCUUUCCUGUGCACUAGAGGGAUUUAAAAUUUUAAGAAUAAUGCCUCGUUAUUCUGUUAGGCGGCAACGAUUGAUCGUGACAACAUGUUGUGUGCUACGUAAUUUCAUUAGAAUGGUGACUCCCGACCACUGGAUAUUUCGAUAUUGGAGUAGGGGUUCAGCUCCUUGUUCUUGAUAACACGUUUCAUGACAAAGCGGGGCCAUUUGGUCUUCUUGAAAUGACGACUGGAGCAGCAGAAACUAUGAUGGCAAUAAGAGAUGGGAUUUACAUACCUAUGUGGCAAAAUAGGGUUGUUCAUUGAACGUGUAAUUAAAAGUAGUUGUGUAUGUAUCAUUUUGUGCACAC